CAGCAGCCGCGGUAAUACGUAGGUGGCAAGCGUUGUCCGGAAUUAUUGGGCGUAAAGGGCUCGCAGGCGGUUUCUUAAGUCUGAUGUGAAAGCCCCCGGCUCAACCGGGGAGGGUCAUUGGAAACUGGGAAACUUGAGUGCAGAAGAGGAGAGUGGAAUUCCACGUGUAGCGGUGAAAUGCGUAGAGAUGUGGAGGAACACCAGUGGCGAAGGCGACUCUCUGGUCUGUAACUGACGCUGAGGGGCGAAAGCGUGGGGAGCGAACAGGAUUAGAUACCCGCGUAGUCCCUGUCUCUUAUAC
rnacentral:rRNA from 1 species